UGCCAGCCGCCGCGGUAAUACGGAGGGUGCAAGCGUUAUCCGGAAUCACUGGGUUUAAAGGGUGCGUAGGCGGAUAAAUAAGUCAAUGGUGAAAGCUCUGAGCUUAACUGAGGAAUUGCCUUUGAUACUGUUUAUCUUGAAUUAUGUUGAGGUUAGCGGAAUGAGUCAUGUAGCGGUGAAAUGCAUAGAUAUGACUUAGAACACCAAUUGCGAAGGCAGCUAGCUAGGCAUUAAUUGACGCUGAGGCACGAAAGCGUGGGGAGCGAACAGGAUUAGAUA
rnacentral:rRNA from 1 species